UGCUUGCACAAAGAAUGGAUUUUCUUGGACUUGGAUUUUCUCCUUAGUGGCAAACGGGUGAGUAACACGUGGGUUACCUACCUCCAAGAUGGGGAUAACAGUUGGAAACGACUGAUAAUACCGAAUGUGCUCUACGGAGUAAAGAAGCCUUUAAAGCUUCGCUUGGAGAUGGGCCUGCGGCGUAUUAGCUAGUUGGUGGGGCAACGGCCUACCAAGGCGACGAUGCGUAGCCGAACUGAGAGGUUGAUCGGCCACACUGGGACUGAGACACGGCCCAGACUCCUACGGGAGACAGCAGUUAGGAAUAUUCGUCAAUGGAGGAAACUCUGAACGAGCAAUGCCGCGUGAACGAUGACGGCCCUAUGGGUUGUAAAGUUCUGUUGUUUGGAAAGAACGAUAUAUAGAGGAAAUGCUAUAUAUGUGACGGUACCAUUCAAGAAAGCCACGGCUAACUACGUGCCAGCAGCCGCGGUAAUACGUAGGUGGCGAGCGUUAUCCGGAUUUAUUGGGCGUAAAGGGUGCGCAGACGGUUUAUUAAGUCUAAAAUCAAAUCUUGGGGCUCAACCCCAUUCCGUUUUAGAAACUGGUAGACUCGAGUAUGGUAGAGGCAAAUGGAAUUCCUAGUGUAGCGGUGGAAU
rnacentral:rRNA from 1 species